AGAAGAGGGUCGAUUUUCAGCCCAGCCCGGUCUGGUACCAAACUCAGCUGUCCUGAAUCAGAGAUGGACAUAGGGCCAAGAGAGUUUCCAUGGUAGCUGAGUGUGUUCAGAUGUGGGACAUUGGCGAACGACAGCCAUGCUUUUCUACACGUGUUCAGAGAAUACAUGGAUCGCCAAUAAGCUGCCAUUAACAACACAUCUGCCUCCUGAUAGAACAUGACUAAUAAAACCUAACACCUGUUCCCCUCACCUGUAUGAGGGGCAAGUGGCCCUGUGAAUUGGAUUGUCUGACGGAGUUGCCAUCCCAAUCAUAUGUUCAUUUUGUGUCUUUUGUUGGGAGGGGGGGAGGAAUAGAUGUGCAGUAAAGAACCUUUUGACUAUUAUUAUGUCCAUUGAGUAUUUUCCUUUUUAACAUCUAAAAAAAAAAAGAUCGCUAGUACUAAUUAUUACAGUGGUGUAAGUGCGCUUGAACUCUUUUGAAGUCACACCCUCAGAAACGUAGGUAGAAAUCAGCAUCCUACAAAUUCCAGAUCUUUUCCUUCCUCUCCUUUUCCACAUUUAUUACUAAAGGAAUCCAUUAAUAAACGAUAGUUUCACUUCUCUAUGCACCAAAAAAAAGACAAAAAUUAAAAUUACUUUUUAUUCCUAUCAAUUGGAUGGGAGCAAAUUCCAUGGAGCUGUGUAUCAUCCAAGACACCUGGUGUCUGGGAUGAAAUUAUUUCAAAGAACUUCCUGCACAACACUUUCUUUAACAAACUGAAAUGAAGAGCAUCGGCGCGGGUUUGAGUAGAGGGUGUGUGACCUCCCGCUGGAACUCUGAUGUUCGGCAUUCGCCCUCGUGUGUCUUCAGGGUCUCAUUGUAAUCCCGGCCUCUGGGCAGGAGACUGUCUGGUCUUAGAACGUUGGGGUGUGACUGCAUUGUAGAUGAUAAAAGGACAGGAGAUGGGUCAAAAAUAAAAUGUAAAAAUGGGAUGGAUACAGAUACAGGCUGCUGUAAAAAAAAAAAAAAAA